rnacentral:misc_RNA from 1 species
AACUUUUAGCAACGGAUCACUGGCCGCUACGGUCAAUGCAUCGCUGCAGGCGGCUAUAGCAUCUACCAGCCGCACUGCAUUCUUUUCGCGCUUGCCGAGUAUUCGAAAUACAGCCCCCAGACCAAUCUGAGUCAUCGCCCAAUCUCGCGGCACGUGCUCGCGUCGUCGUUCCUUUAGCGCCUCACGAAAGGCGACGACGGCCUCUUCAAGCCGCGCGGUCCCACCCUCCUUCGUACCUAACACUUGAAGCGCCGCGCCGAGCCCGUGUUGCGUUGUGGCCCAGUGGAGCGGCACACGCUCACGCGUGAAUUCCUGAAGCGCCUCGCGAUACGCAGUAACGGCUUCUUCCAAAGCCGACGUGCCACUCUCUCGUUCACCGAGCGCUAGAAGCGUGUUUCCAAGGUUGUUUUGGGUCGCGGCCCACUUAAGCAUAUCAAUAAGCGGAGGCU